GACAGAGGGUGCAAACGUUGUUCGGAAUUACUGGGCGUAAAGCGCGUGUAGGCGGCCCUGCAAGUCGGGUGUGAAAUCCCACGGCUCAACCGUGGAAGUGCACUCGAAACUGCAGGGCUAGAGUCCUGGAGAGGAAGGUGGAAUGCUUGGUGUAGAGGCGAAAAUUCGUAGAUAUCCGGAGGAACACCAGAGGCGAAGGCGGCCGGCUGGACCUGACCUGACGCUGAGGCACGAAGGCGUGGGGAGCGAACGGG
rnacentral:rRNA from 1 species